rnacentral:lncRNA from 1 species
UUCCAGAAGCCCCUCAACGCCUACCAGUACCUCCCCUGGACGUCGGUUCACCCAUGGCACCAGAAAGUGGCAUUUAUCCGCAGCGAGCUCCGGAGAUACCUCCUCCGUGAGAGCACGGCCCAUGGAUUCCAUGCCAUGCGCAUGCGGUUCUACCACCGCCUCUGUGUCCAGGGACACCCGAUCUCCUUCCUCCAACACUGCCUCUCUA